AUUGAACGCUGGCGGCAGGCCUAACACAUGCAAGUCGAGCGGAUGAGGGUAGCUUGCUAUCUGAUUCAGCGGCGGACGGGUGAGUAAUGCCUAGGAAUCUGCCUGGUAGUGGGGGACAACGUUUCGAAAGGAACGCUAAUACCGCAUACGUCCUACGGGAGAAAGGGGGGGAUCUUCGGACCUCACGCUAUCAGAUGAGCCUAGGUACGAUUAGCUAGUUGGUGAGGUAAAGGCUCACCAAGGCGACGAUCGUUAACUGGUCUGAGAGGAUGAUCAGUCACACUGGAACUGAGACACGGUCCAGACUCCUACGGGAGGCAGCAGUGGGGAAUAUUGGACAAUGGGCGAAAGCCUGAUCCAGCCAUGCCGCGUGUGUGAAGAAGGUCUUCGGAUUGUAAAGCACUUUAAGUUGGGAGGAAGGGCAGUAAGUUAAUACCUUGCUGUUUUGACGUUACCAACAGAAUAAGCACCGGCUAACUUCGUGCCAGCAGCCGCGGUAAAAC
rnacentral:rRNA from 1 species